rnacentral:rRNA from 1 species
GUUAUUCUGGAAAGCCCCUCGGGGCCGGAAUGAAUAACUUAGUGCGGACGGGUGAGUAACGCGUGAGCAAUCUGCCUCGGAGUGGGGGAUAACAGUCGGAAACGGCUGCUAAUACCGCAUGAUGUAACGGGAGGACAUCCUUCUGUUACCAAAGAUUUAUCGCUUUGAGAUGAGCUCGCGUCUGAUUAGCUAGUUGGCGGGGUAACGGCCCACCAAGGCGACGAUCAGUAGCCGGACUGAGAGGUUGAACGGCCACAUUGGGACUGAGACACGGCCCAGACUCCUACGGGAGGCAGCAGUGGGGAAUAUUGCGCAAUGGGGGAAACCCUGACGCAGCAACGCCGCGUGAUUGAAGAAGGCCUUCGGGUUGUAAAGAUCUUUAAUUGGGGACGAAACAA